UCCUGUAUAUGAACACGCGGAAGGAUCACUA
rnacentral:rRNA from 1 species